rnacentral:rRNA from 1 species
GAUGAACGCUGGCGGCGUGCCUAAUACAUGCAAGUCGAGCGGUAAGGCUUUACACAGUUUGUUUAAACGGCAAAGACAGGUCGCGAUUACGAAGUAAUCGUUUCUUAUACGAAGAAUAAACGCUUCGGUCUAAACCACUCUUUAUCUGGCUAGAUAAACGAGUUUGAACAAAGUGUGUAGAGUACACGAGCGGCGGACGGCUGAGUAAUGCAUUGGAACGUACCCCAAACCUGAGGGAUAAUCCACCGAAAGGUGGACUAAUACCGCAUGUGCCAUUCGUGGUAAAGCUACGGCGGUUUGGGAGCGGCCAAUGUUCGAUUAGCUAGUUGGUGAGGUAAUAGCUCACCAAGGCUACGAUCGAUAGCGGGUCUGAGAGGAUGAUCCGCCAGACUGGAACUGAGACACGGUCCAGACUCCUACGGGAGGCAGCAGUAGGGAAUUUUCCACAAUGGGGGCAACCCUGAUGGAGCAACGCCGCGUGCAGGAUGAAGGCCCUCGGGUCGUAAACUGC